rnacentral:rRNA from 1 species
UACGUAGGGGGCAAGCGUUAUCCGAAAUUACUGGGUGUAAAGGGAGCGUAGACGGUAAUGUAAGUCUGGAGUGAAAGGCGGGGGCCCAACCCCCGGACUGCUCUGGAAACUAUGUUACUAGAGUGCAGGAGAGGUAAGCGGAAUUCCUAGUGUAGCGGUGAAAUGCGUAGAUAUUAGGAGGAACACCAGUGGCGAAGGCGGCUUACUGGACUGUGACUGACGUUGAGGCUCGAAAGCGUGGGGAGCAAACAGG